rnacentral:rRNA from 1 species
UGAGGAAUAUUGGUCAAUGGGCGGAAGCCUGAACCAGCCAAGUCGCGUGAGGGAUUAAGGCCCUGCGGGUCGUAAACCUCUUUUGCCGGGGAGCAGUGGUCCGGACGCGUCCGGACCGGGAGAGUACCCGGAGAAAAAGCAUCGGCUAACUCCGUGCCAGCAGCCGCGGUAAUACGGAGGAUGCGAGCGUUAUCCGGAUUUAUUGGGUUUAAAGGGUGCGUAGGCGGGCAUUUAAGCCGGCGGUCAAAUGUCGGGGCUCAACCCCGGCCUGCCGUCGGAACUGGGUGCCUUGAGUGGGCGAGA